UACGGAGGGUGCAAACGUUGGCUCGGAAUCAUUGGGCGUAAAGCGCCACGUAGGCGGCUCGUUAAGUCGGAUGUGAAAGCCCUGGGCUCAACCCAGGAAGUGCAUACGAAACUGGCGAGCUUGAGUAUGGAAGAGGGUCGCGGAAUUCCCGGUGUAGAGGUGAAAUUCGUAGAUAUCGGGAGGAACACCAGUGGCGAAGGCGGCGA
rnacentral:rRNA from 1 species